AGUUGAUAGGUGCAAGAUUCUACAACACAGAAUUCAAAUCUGUUUCCAACAAUAAGCGGCCAACUCAUGGGUCUCCAAGGGAUACUGUUGGGCAAGGAACACACACCACAUCUAUUGCAGCUGGUGCACCUGUUGCCAAUGCUAGUUACUAUGGCCUCGCUCGGGGUACAGCGAGGGGUGGCUCACCUUCUGCAAGGAUUGCAGCUUACAAGGCAUGCUCGCAACAAGGUUGCUCGGGUUCAACCAUACUCAAGGCCAUCGAUGAUUCGAUUAUGGACGGAGUUGAUAUCAUUUCGAUUUCCAUUGGAAUGAACCUCUUUCAACCAGACUUCUUGGAUGAUCCCAUAGCAUUGGAGCCUUCCAUGCUUAACAAAGGGGAGUCAAGCUUCUAGCAUUGACCGUGAUUUCAGGUCGACUAUAGUGCUCGGAAAUGGAAAAACAUUACAAGUAAGAUGAAAUAAUAACUGUACGUCUUAUGACAUCAUAUGAGACUCACGUAAAUUUAUUUAUUUAAUUAUUACUCUUAGUUUGUUAAUCGGUAUUGAAUUUUAUUUUGCAUUCUUAUAUAUGGAUCUGCUAUCAAUUUCUCAAACCUUACACGCUCAAAAGCCUAUCCUCUUGCGUUUGGAGAAAGCAUUGCUUCUAAGUUUACCCCUGUAUCGGAUGCUAGGAAUUGCUUUCCAGGAUCACUAGAUUCAAAAAAAGUUGCUGAAAAAUAGUUGUCUGUGUUGAAACUGACUUCAGCGUUGCAACGAGAAUCAAGAAGUUAGUUGUUGAAGAUUGUAAAGCCGAAGGAUUGAUUUUGAUUGAUGACGUGGAGAAAGAUGAGCCGUUUGAUUAUGGAGUUUUUCCAUUUACAGAAGUUGGGAAAUGGGAAUAUUGCUGGGUCCCAAAUUCUAGACUAUAUUAACUCUACCAGGAAACCAACUGCAACUGUACUUGCAACAAAUGAAAUUCGAAGGUUUAGACCAGCUCCUGUUGUUGCUUAUUUCUCGUCACGAGGUCCCGGAGGGCUUACAGAAAAUAUUCUUAAGGUGUGUGUAUGUGUAUUUGUAUGUGUAUGUGUGCGUGUGUGUGUGUGUGUAUAUAUAUUCACCUUUACAUCCUGUGAUAUAUAUACACAGGUAUAUAUAUGUGAAAAUUCUAUGAUCAAGUUCUUAUAAUAAUUAGGCUAAAUUAGACAUAAUCCCCUUGCUAUCAUUGUUUGGCACGUACCCUUUGAACUAUAAAAACAAAAACAAAAAAUUAUUAAAAAAAUUGCACAGCACCUCCCUUGUCGUCAAACUGCCCCAACACUUGGAUUGGAGUGUUGGGCGUAUAUAUCAUUUUCUCAUGCUAUAUUGUUAAGGAAAUAUGUGUGAACAAAUCUGGGAUCGUGUGUCACAAAAUGAUAGUACAUGAAUAUUAAGUAGAAUUGAGCCAGCCAAAACAAAAAAAGAAAUAAAAGAGGUGAUUAAUAUUAUAUAAUUAACGAAUAAUGAUAGGAAGUUGAAGAGUUGGACAUAUUCGGGGGUGAACAAAGAAGAACCAAUGGAACUAUUAAGAAUUAGAGCCAAAACACUGGUUUCUUUUCCAAAUUUUAGGAACCUUCAAAUUCUGGUCCAAGAGUCUGUAACUAGAACCGGAACCGAAACCGUAUAUAUAUAUAUAUAUUAUUUUUUUAAUUAUAUAAUUACUAAUAUA